UGUCUACAAAUAAAUACCCGGGCAUUUCCACUAGAAAUACGUAGUUACAUCUUGAUUACUUAUUACAACAAAGCUCGACCAUGAAAACCUUCAUUGUUCUUGCCAUCAUGAAUAUUUUGGCCUUUUGCUCAGCUGUUGCAAUCUUGGAAGAAGAGACUGAUAAUUUUGGCCUCAAUCCUAAAGUUUUGGCUAGUUUGGCUGGGUAAAGAAAUUCUAAAAACGAAAAUAUGACAAUAAGGUUAAAAAGUUGUAUUCUUUACUAAAAAGAAAAAUGUGUAAUAUGUAAAUAAAUUGAAAUGAUUGGUUCUUAAUAUAUCA